CCAAGAGAAAGCGUGAAGCUGCCAGCAUGAUCUAACUCUUGAAGCUGUGGUUAGAUCGUGCUGUGACAGUUUCACUCUUUCCCUGU
rnacentral:pre_miRNA from 1 species